GGACUCUGCGUGCAGUUCAGGGCUGUGUUUAUUAGAUACAAAACCAACCCACUUCGUGGAGUCCUGGUGAUUCAUAGUAACCGAACGGAUCGCAUUUGGCUUCGGCCCGCGAUGGAUCAUUCAAGUUUCUGACCUAUCAGCUUUCGACGGUAGGGUAUUGGCCUACCGUGGCAGUGACGGGUAACGGGGAAUUAGGGUUCGAUUCCGGAGAGGGAGCCUGAGAAACGGCUACCACAUCUAAGGAAGGCAGCAGGCGCGCAAAUUACCCAAUGAAAACAGUUUCGAGGUAGUGACGAGAAAUAACAAUACAGGGCAUUUUAUGCUCUGUAAUUGGAAUGAUGGGAAUGUAAAACCCUUUCAGAGUAACAAUUGGAGGGCAAGUCUGGUGCCAGCAGCCGCGGUAAUUCCAGCUCCAAUAGUGUAUAUUAGAGUUGUUGCAGUUAAAAAGCUCGUAGUUGGAUUUCUGUCGUGGUCAUCCGGUACCGCCCGUAUGGGUGCGCACCUGGUUUGCCCUCGGCUUUCUUCCGGUAGCCUUCCGCGCUUCACUGCGUGUGUUGGUGUUCCGGAACUUUUACUUUGAGAAAAAUAGAGUGUUUCAAGCAGGCUUGUCGCCCUGAAUACUUCAGCAUGGAAUAAUAAGAUAGGACCUCGGUUCUAUUUUGUUGGUUUCUAGGACCAAGGUAAUGAUUAAUAGGGACAGUUGGGGGCAUUCGUAUUUAACUGUCAGAGGUGAAAUUCUUAGAUUUGUUAAAGACGAACUACUGCGAAAGCAUUUGCCAAGGAUGUUUUCAUUAAUCAAGAACGACAGUAGGGGGUUUGAAGACGAUUAGAUACCGUCGUAAUCUCUACCAUAAACUAUGCCGACUAGAGAUAGGGAAAUGCCUACCUUGGCUUCUCCUGCACCUCAUGAGAAAUCAAAGUCUCUGGGUUCUGGGGGGGAGUAUGGUCGCAAGGCUGAAACUUAAAGGAAUUGACGGAAUGGCACCACCAGGCGUGGAGCCUGCGGCUUAAAUUUGACUCAACACGGGGAAACUCACCAGUCCAGACAUGGGGAAAGGGAUUGACAGAUUGAUAGCUCUUUCAUGAUUCCUAUGGUUGUUGAUGCCAUGGUCGCUCUAGUUGAUGGUAAGUGAAUCCUGGUCCUGGAUUAAAUUUUCCGGAAAAUUAAAA
rnacentral:rRNA from 1 species